AUUGAACGCUGGCGGCAUGCCUUACACAUGCAAGUCGAACGGUAACAGGUCUUCGGAUGCUGACGAGUGGCGAACGGGUGAGUAAUACAUCGGAACGUGCCUAGUAGUGGGGGAUAACUACUCGAAAGGGUGGCUAAUACCGCAUGAGAUCUACGGAUGAAAGCAGGGGAUCGCAAGACCUUGUGCUACUAGAGCGGCCGAUGGCAGAUUAGGUAGUUGGUGGGAUAAAAGCUUACCAAGCCGACGAUCUGUAGCUGGUCUGAGAGGACGAUCAGCCACACUGGGACUGAGACACGGCCCAGACUCCUACGGGAGGCAGCAGUGUGGAAUUUUGGACAAUGGGCGCAAGCCUGAUCCAGCAAUGCCGCGUGCAGGAUGAAGGCCUUCGUGUUGUAAACUGCUUUUGUACGGAACGAAAAGCCCUGGGUUAAUACCCUGGGGUCAUGACGGUACCGUAAGAAUAAGCACCGGCUAACUACGUGCCAGCCGCCGCUGUAACAC
rnacentral:rRNA from 1 species